ensembl:processed_transcript Pantr2 POU domain, class 3, transcription factor 3 adjacent noncoding transcript 2
CUAGGCGACUGGUGUGGAUUGGUGUUGAUGAGAUGUGGCUUCCAGCGUUGCCCGACUCAGACCUGUUUCCAGUCUGGAUGGAGCGGACCGACUGUGUGGGAUGGGGUGAGAGGAACAAGUGAAACUCAACAGCUAAGGAGAAAAUGAAGAACUAGUGCUACGUUUUCCACGUUCUUUUUGCUCCGGGGUUGACAUGGCAUUUGGCCUUUCUACCUGGAGAAAAUCAAGAGUAUGUAACUUUCCCUGCAGAUGGUCUGUCUGUAAGAGCUGACACAGGAACCUUUGGGAGCCAGUAUCUAUUUUGUUUCCGACUGCAAAGUUCCAGCCAAUGAUUUGGAGGGGGGUCGGCACCUUCUGCUGGGAGCUAGUCUGGGAGGGAACAACUAAUUCCUGAGUUCUCUUUCGCAAACAUAUCUCUUGUUUAUUAAAAUAAUAGUAAUAAAAAUAAGAAUAAUAAUUAAAA